rnacentral:rRNA from 1 species
UACGUAGGGUGCGAGCGUUGUCCGGAAUUAUUGGGCGUAAAGAGCUCGUAGGCGGUGUGUCGCGUCGGUCGUGAAAACUUUCAGCUUAACUGGGAGCUUGCGGUCGAUACGGGCAUCACUGGAGUUCGGCAGGGGAGACUGGAAUUCCUGGUGUAGCGGUGAAAUGCGCAGAUAUCAGGAGGAACGCCGGUGGCGAAGGCGGGUCUCUGGGCCGAUACUGACGCUGAGGAGCGAAAGCGUGGGGAGCGAACAGG